rnacentral:lncRNA from 1 species
AAAUGGGAAGAAACAAUAGCAAAGACAAAGCAAAUGGAAAGGGGGCAUCAAAACAAACACUGAAAUGGGGGACCUUAUUUACACAUGGGGGUGGGGGUAUUCUUCUUUUCCUCCCUUCUUUUUCAUUUUUCAUUUUAUUUUAUUUUAUUUUUUAUAAAGAAAUAUUGGGGUUAUUGAUUUUGUGAAGUGGAGCCAACCCAAAGGUGAGAUUCUUCUGCAAUAUGUUGGUUGGAAGAGCACACCAUUUGGGACAUGCUUGUACCUCUCAAUCUUCAAUUCUUUGUUGAUGAUCGAUGAUAAUGAAUCAUAAUUAUUUUUCAGUAUUUAUC